CACGUAGUUAGCCGGGGCUUCUUACUCAGGUACCGUCAUUUUCUUCCCUGCUAAUAGAGCUUUACGUAACGAAUUACUUCUUCACUCACGCGGCGUCGCUGCAUCAGGGUUUCCCCCAUUGUGCAAUAUUCCCCACUGCUGCCUCCCGUAGGAGUCUGGGCCGUGUCUCAGUCCCAAUGUGGCCGUCCGCCCUCUCAGGCCGGCUACUGAUCGUCGCCUUGGUGGGCCGUUACCCCGCCAACAAGCUAAUCAGACGCGGGUCCAUCUUACACCACCGGAGUUUUUCACACCGCUUCAUGCGAAGCUGUGCGCUUAUGCGGUUUUAGCACCUAUUUCUAAGUGUUAUCCCCCUGUGUAAGGCAGGUUGCCCACGCGUUACUCACCCGUCCGCCACUAACCCAUAUAUCACUAGGUUUCAAUAUGGGUCCGUUCGACUUGCAUGUGUUAAGCACGCCGCCAGCGUUCAUCCUGAGCCAGGAU
rnacentral:rRNA from 1 species